GAUGAACGCUGGCGGCGUGCUUAACACAUGCAAGUCGAACGAAGCACUUUACCUGAUUUCCUUCGGGGAUGAUUGUUCUGUGACUGAGUGGCGGACGGGUGAGUAACGCGUGGAUAACCUGCCUCACACAGGGGGAUAACAGUUGGAAACGACUGCUAAUACCGCAUAAGCACACAGCCCCGCAUGGUGCCGUGUGAAAAACUCCGGUGGGGUAAGAUGGAUCCGCGUAUGAGUAGCUAGUUGGCGGGGUAACGGCCCACGAAGGCGACGACAAGGAGCCGGCCUGAGAGGGCGAGUGGCAACAUUGGGACUGAGACACGGCCCAGACUCCUACGGGAGGCAGCAGUGGGGAAUAUUGCACAAUGGGGGAAACCCUGAUGUAGCGACGCCGCGUGAGCGAUGAAGUAUUUCGGUAUGUAAAGCUCUAUCAGCAGGGAAGAUAAUGACGGUACCUGACUAAGAAGCUCCGGCUAAAUACGUGCCAGCCGCCGCUGUAAUAC
rnacentral:rRNA from 1 species